UACGGGAGGCAGCAGUAGGGAAUCUUCCGCAAUGGACGAAAGUCUGACGGAGCAACGCCGCGUGAGUGAUGAAGGUUUUCGGAUCGUAAAACUCUGUUGUUAGGGAAGAACAAGUACGAGAGUAACUGCUCGUACCUUGACGGUACCUAACCAGAAAGCCACGGCUAACUACGUGCCAGCAGCCGCGGUAAUACGUAGGUGGCAAGCGUUGUCCGGAAUUAUUGGGCGUAAAGCGCGCGCAGGCGGUCCUUUAAGUCUGAUGUGAAAGCCCACGGCUCAACCGUGGAGGGUCAUUGGAAACUGGGGGACUUGAGUGCAGAAGAGAAGAGUGGAAUUCCACGUGUAGCGGUGAAAUGCGUAGAGAUGUGGAGGAACACCAGUGGCGAAGGCGACUCUUUGGUCUGUAACUGACGCUGAGGCGCGAAAGCGUGGGGAGCAAACAGGAUUAGAUACCCUGGUAGUCCACGCCGUAAACGAUGAGUGCUAAGUGUUAGAGGGUUUCCGCCCUUUAGUGCUGCAGCAA
rnacentral:rRNA from 2 species